GACGAACGCUGGCGGCGUGCUUAACACAUGCAAGUCGAACGAAGUGGCGAACGUGUGAGUAAUAUAUAGCUAAUCUGCCCCUUGCUGGAGGAAAACAGGUAGAAAUGACUGCUAAUACUCCAUAGCAAGGGAUGAGACUAUAUAGUCUUAGCUAGUCGGUGGGGUAACGGCCUACCGAGGCUAUGACGCGUAACUGGUCUGAGAGGAUGAUCAGUCACAUUGGACGUGAGACACGGUCCAAACACCUACGGGAGGGAGCAGUAGGGAAUAUUGCGCAAUGGGUGUAACCCUAGCGCAGCAACGCCGCGUGGAGGAUGACACUUUUCGGAGCGUAAACUCCUUUUGUUAGGGAAGCGGUACCUAACGAAUAAGCACCGGCUAACUCCGUGCCAGCAGCCGCGGUAAUAC
rnacentral:rRNA from 1 species